GGCCAUGUGAUGGAAUUGGUAUACAUACCAGUCUUAGAAACUGGGUUCUGAGAGUUCGAGUCUCUCCGUGGCCACCA
rnacentral:tRNA from 1 species